rnacentral:rRNA from 1 species
UACGUAGGGUGCAAGCGUUAAUCGGAAUUACUGGGCGUAAAGCGUGCGCAGGCGGUUUUGUAAGUCUGUCGUGAAAGCCCCGGGCUCAACCUGGGAAUUGCGAUGAAGACUGCAAGGCUAGAAUCUGGCAGAGGGGGGUAGAAUUCCACGUGUAGCAGUGAAAUGCGUAGAGAUGUGGAGGAACACCGAUGGCGAAGGCAGCCCCCUGGGUCAAGAUUGACGCUCAUGCACGAAAGCGUGGGGAGCAAACAGG